rnacentral:rRNA from 1 species
GACCUCGGAUCAGGUAGGAAUACCCGCUGAACUUAAGCAUAUCAAUAAGCGGAGGAAAAGAAACCAACAGGGAUUGCCCUAGUAACGGCGAGUGAAGCGGCAAUAGCUCAAAUUUGAAAUCUGGCCUUCGGGUCCGAGUUGUAAUUUGUAGAGGAUGCUUUUGGCGCGGUGCCUUCCGAGUUCCCUGGAACGGGACGCCUUAGAGGGUGAGAGCCCCGUACGGUUGGACACCAAGCCUCUGUAAAGCUCCUUCGACGAGUCGAGUAGUUUGGGAAUGCUGCUCUAAAUGGGAGGUAAAUUUCUUCUAAAGCUAAAUAUUGGCCAGAGACCGAUAGCGCACAAGUAGAGUGAUCGAAAGAUGAAAAGCACUUUGAAAAGAGGGUUAAAUAGUACGUGAAAUUGUUGAAAGGGAAGCGUUUGCGACCAGACCUUUUCCUGGCGGAUCAUCCGGUGUUCUCACCGGUGCACUUCGCCAGGUUUAGGCCAGCAUCGGUUUUCGCAGGGGGAUAAAAGCUCUGGGAACGUAGCUCCUCCGGGAGUGUUAUAGCCCUCUGCAUAAUACCCUUGCGGGGACCGAGGACC